UACGAAGGGGGCGAGCGUUGUUCGGAAUUACUGGGCGUAAAGGGCGCGUAGGCGGCGACCCAAGUCAGAUGUGAAAGUCCUGGGCUUAACCUGGGGACUGCAUUUGAUACUGGGUUGCUUGAAUUCGGGAGAGGAUAGCGGAAUUCCCAGUGUAGAGGUGAAAUUCGUAGAUAUCGAGAGGAACACCGGUGGCGAAGGCGGCCUUCUGGACAGUGACUGACGCUGAGACGCGAAAGCGUGGGGAGCAAACAGG
rnacentral:rRNA from 1 species